CAAAAAACAAAAAAAAACUCUUGAAAACGCUGUCGUCAUAGGACCGCUUUGCCGCAUUUUCGAGGCAAACUAUCCCAUUUCUACUCUUAAGCACUCGCUGUGGAGGUGGGAAGUCCGCGUGUUAAAAAAGAUGAAGAUUUUCCAUGUCCCUUGCUUGGAAGAUAACUUUGCCUAUCUGAUCAUCGAUGAGAGCACUCAAGAAGCAGCGGUGGUGGAUCCCGUCGAGCCCAAUAAGAUUCUUCAAGCUGCCAAUCAGCACCACCUCAAUCUCAAGGAUCAUGCAGGGGGAAAUGAGAAGAUGAAGCAGCUGGUGCCUGGGCUUCAGGUCUAUGGUGGUUCCGUUGACAACGUAAAGGGUUGUACCCAUCAAUUAGAC
rnacentral:misc_RNA from 1 species